AACGAACGCUGGCGGCAUGCCUAACACAUGCAAGUCGGACGAAACCUUCGGGUCUAGUGGCGCACGGGUGCGUAACGCGUGGGAAUCUGCCCUUGGGUUCGGAAUAACAGUUGGAAACGACUGCUAAUACCGGAUGAUGACGUAAGUCCAAAGAUUUAUCGCACAAGGAUGAGCGCGCGUAGGAUUAGCUAGUUGGUGAGGUAAAGGCUCACCAAGGCGACGAUCCUUAGCUGGUCAGAGAGGAUGAUCAGCCACACUGGGACUGAGACACGGCCCAGACUCCUACGGGAAGCAGCAGUGGGGAAUAGUGGACAAUGGGCGAAGGCCUGAUCCAGCAAUGCCGCGUGAGUGAUGAAGGCCUGAGGGUUGUAAAGCUCUUUUAACCGGGAUGAUAAUGACAGUACCGGGAGAAUAAGCUCCGGCUAACUCCGUG
rnacentral:rRNA from 1 species